rnacentral:lncRNA from 1 species
GAGAUAACAAAUUACAGUGAGAUUAAUAUAGGGCACUGUGACGGCAAAACAGAAGGAACGAGUAAUAGGGAUUGACUGCUCUUUAUUUUGGAUAGCUUUUCACUGGAAUUUUGUGGAGAAAAAGGCUAUAUAAUCAGGUAUUUUGAUCAACUUUCGUACAAUGAUAUACAUGAUAUUGAAUUUGCAGUGAAGUAUUAGUUAUGUUUUUGUAAAGUAGGCUAAUGAUUAGGAGGAGACAAAGGAAUAAUUGAGCAUGGCAGACAUAAUCAUGAAGCAUUGGGAAUGAAUUUUAAUUUAAUAAAAGAAAUCUUACCCUUCAAUAUGGACAAAACCAGUUAGGAUUGUUUUGGAUCUUAAUAUUAGAAUAUUACAUAUAUAGGGAAUUAGUUAUGGACCUUUGCACACAUAUGUAGAAUGACAGGUUAUGAUUUAUGUUUUUCUUUUGUAAUAGCUACGUAGUGAUUGAAAAUAUAAUGAGUAGUGAUAAGUUUUCAAAAUCAGGUCUAAGGUUGGAGUGAGAAUUUAUCCGUAAGGUGUAUCUAGGACCUAUUUGAAUGUUAAUAUUAAAGCCACUGUUCCGAUUUUUAUUGUUAAGUAUAGAAAGAUUUUGAUUGUAACCCGGGGUUAUGACAGUUUAGAUUGGGAUAAUGGGAUACAUUACUAUUAAGGUGUAAAAGAAAAAUAUAAAGCUAUAACUCUAAGCUUGAAAGUUAGGGACAUAGAGAUUUGAUCCCGACUAAUAUAACUGAUAUUGUUAAUAAUAUUUUGUAUAGAUUGAGGUUAUUGGAGGCCGUUUAGUUUAGUUGGUGUUCUAAAAAUCGCGAGGUUGGAAAAUUUUCUGUUAUCGAGAUAAGCGAGACUUUAAGCUUUAAUGCUUGCUUUUUCAAAACUCGUUUUGAAAAAAAAUGUUUUGUCUGCCUAGUCCAUGUGUUGGGACGAGCGUGCGCUUGGCAGAAUCGGUGGUGUUUGACCAACCGCAAAUAUAUAUUAUUUUAUAAAAAGCUAAAACUAUUUAAUAAGUGAUUUGUGAUGUGGUGUGAUGUGGCGUAGCCUCGUGCUAUGGCGUUGGGGUGUUAGAAAUUAUUUUUUCGUUGCCGUAAUAUAUUUGGGGCAUUGUGUAUGUUGCCGUGAUAGAUUUGGGACAUUGUGUAUGCCGCCAUAAUAUAUUUGGGGCAUUGUGUAUGCCGCUGUGAUAGAGUUGGGGCAUUGUGUAUGCCGCCAUAAUAGAUUUGGGGCAUUGUGUAUGCUGCCGUGGACUCGUCGGAGUGUUUGGUUAAUUUCCUGUACUGUCGUUAAUGACAAGUCCUUAGUGUAGAUUGAGUUGAGAUAUAUAUAGUGUUAUUGUUGAAUAAUUUUUUGGGCCUUAUAGAGUAAUUAUAUGGUGAAAGAAUUUCUGUGCUUGUUGUGUGUUUGUAUUUUCUAACACUUAUUCCAGGUGUAUUUAAAGUAGCGGGUCAAGGAUCUUACGGGGUUAUAUUUACGUAUAACUCACUUUUUACCUGCAUGUCUAUGCAGAUACUAUUGAUGAAAACAGAGCUAGUAACUAACGAGUUCGCUAGAGUUGAUUCAGUUAUUUAGGUGAGCCGUCGCAUUAUUCGUGGAGGCUGCCAAAAGAGUCUUUAUUAUUUAUCCAUACAAUGUCUUUUGCAAUUCUCUUAGAUGCUCCAUAGCCUAGUGUGGAAUUUGGACUAGAGUUUCGGUAUUAUAUUUUGAGAUAUUAAUUGUUCGUAAUGGUUAUCAGUUUAUGUGGAUACUUAUUUAAUUAAUCAAAUGUUGCAAAUUAAUAGCUAAGGUAUGAAAGUAUAGUUCGCCUAGCGGGUGGUGUUAGCUAGGUGCCAGUCACGUCUAAGGAAUAGUUUGGGACGUGACAUUACGCAUUUACAUAAAUCCAGUAACUUUGCCAAAACCUUAUG